AUGGACAUUUUCAAAGCUGGAAAACUGACUGGAGAUGGGUAGAUGGAUAUUUCCUGUAGACCAGGAUUUUAGGAUGGGUUAUUGUCCAUCAAAUCAUGAUCAGUUUGCAAACUGUCUGUUUCCAUACAACAUCCUUGGUGCUUGGAUUACAGAGCAUCAAAGAAAUGCAGGCUGAAAAUUGGCAUUUGGAUGCUAUUAUUGUAUGUGAAUUACCAAUUUCUUCCUUCAUGUCUUCAGGAUUAAAUACAUGUAGGAGCUUCCAGAAAAAAAAAUCUUUUGUCUUCUCAAAUUGAAAUUUAAACCAACUGUCUUUGGAAUAAGAUCCAUUGUCCAGCCUGCUGCAUAUUUCAUGCAGUGCUGCCUCCUUCACUGCAGGUGUGGCAGUAAAUCCUUGGCACUGAGAUGUGAUCAUGGAAGAUUACCAGGAUUUUUAAAGUAAAAUUACAAUUUUCACAUUCUACAGAAUCUUGUCCUUGAUCUUAUUUUCUGGCCUUGUGUGGCUGGGCUAUGUUUAAACCUGUAGCUAGGUGUGAUUUUGGACAACAAAUGGCUUUCCUGGCCUCUGUCAACAGCUGCCAAUUCACAUUCACAAGCAAAGGAAACUUCUGCAAACUUACAUGUACCAGCCCAGAUCUUACUUGUAUGUCUACUGUCACCCUGAAAUAGAUGGCUGCAUAAUGGCCAGCUUAAGAGGUGUCAGCCUAGGUAGGGUUAAGCCAAAUCUGGUUCAACUCAGGUAAGGUGUGCCUGUAACCCAGCCAGCCACCUGAAAUUCUGCUCAUUUUUAUUGUGGGUUCUGCCAUUUGAGUAUUGUACUCAAGUAUGGAGCGUGUCUGGACGAGGAGAGUUGGGUGGUAAAGGCAUUUCCCUUGUGUCAGGUGGUUCAGUGUAAAAGAACAUAAUUCUAAGAGAACCUUUACUUUGACCUGUGCAUGUGUCAGUUCUGUUGUGCAAGACCUUGCUGACUGGUCAGAUCAUAUAUCAAAACCAAAAGCACUUGCAGAGCCUUCCUGUGCCAGUGGGUGCAGUGGCCAUUUUAACAGGAUAAAUUUCUAAAGCAGAUUUUGUCCAUGUGUUGCCUGAAUCUUCAAGGAAUUCCACAAUUCCUAUUCCUACUGAAGCCAGUAGAGCCUGAGAAAGGAUCAUCCUGAAGAACGUGCUCCAGAAUGUGAGUUGCCUUCCCUGUGAACACAGUCUAUUGUACAGUAAAAAAUUGCAAAGAAAAAGCAAUAUUUCAAGCACAGCAUUGCCUAGUUGGCUUUGAAAGCUUUUAAAGUUUUUUAAUUUUUAAUUUUCUUUUUAAACUUUUAAGAUUCAGGUUAGGUUUAAUUUUUAAGUGUUAUUAGAUCUCCUGAAUCCCUGCUGCACUGAAUCUUGCAUCUGAAUCUUACUGCACAGAGCAAAGUUGCAUGUAACACUGCUUUUCUGCUGAGAGAAAUCUGUUACUUGAAGUUUGUUAUAAAAAGGUUUUUGAAACCUCUGCCACCUAGGGCAAUUUUACUUUAAAGGAAAAAGACCAAGUGAUUUGCUAAACACAUUUCCUUUGGGAGGCUUGUAAAGGAGGAAUUUACACCUGAACUUGAGAGAUCCCUUUAAACAAAUACUGACAUUUUGUUAGGUGUUCCCUCAGGAAAACAGUGUUUUAAAGGUCUGACACCUUCAGCAGCUGAAAUCUUCUUGAUAAUGUUUCCUAUGACAAAUAGCUCACAUGGCUUUUCAUUGCUUAAGCCACUUCUCAGAGUUACAACAUGCUCACACCUGUUAUAGAAACAUGAGGUUUGCAGAGGAAAUUCUCAGCUGAGGCCCUGACUCCACUGAAAAUUCCAAUUGCUCUGUGCAGUUAAGAAACCCAAGUUUGACUUUUUGAAGAAAAGCAGCACAGACCUUUAAGCUAUCACCUCUGGUCCUGUGGAGAGCUGCAAAGGCUCAAGCAGUCACUGUUCCAGGAAUGAAACAGACUGAAGAGAAGAUGGUCAUGAACAUACUGCAGACUAGAGAGGCAGACACCCAGAAAACAUUUACUGAAGAAGCAAGGAGUACCAUUUGAUAGAAAACUGUAUUAGCAUCAUGUUGCAGGUGUUGAACCAUUCUGGGAAGUCAGCCCUGAGCAGAGCCCCAGGAUUCACUUCAAAAACUUACUUCAAGACUGCCAAAGAGUACAUUAUUGCUGGUGAAUUGAAAAUCUUUGCUUCUAAUGGCAUGUUCCCAUAAUUUGAAACAGUAAAAUUACAACUCUUUCCAUACAUAUGGUGUGAUAUUUGAGACUGACACACUAUUUUGCAACUUUAGAAGAGGGACCUAAUUUAUUGAGGCAGUGAGCAAAAGGAGAAACUGAAGACUCUUCCCUUCUCAAUCUCUGUUUCAAAAAAAUAAUCAUAAUUUAGAGGACAACAAGGUGGAUGCUGAAGAGAAAGAAAGGCAGAUGUUUUCCAUGGCAGAUUGCUCCAGGAGAAAACCUGAUGCUGAGAUGCAUAAGCAGGAAGUAAGCACAUUGGGAAUUGUGGUUUUGAAUAGAACAAAGACCAGUAAUUCUGCUUGCUUUUUUACUAUUUUAAAUAUAAACUUAUCUUCUUGACUACAUAGCUGAAUUGUUCUUGAAAUCUAACAAAAGUUUGGUAUUUACA